UAUGACGACACGAAUAAAUUAGCAAAGUAGAUUAACAUCAUACAUUACUUGGGAGGGUUUUUCUUCCCUCAUAACAAAAAAUGUUAUUAUUUAAAGGCACACACAACAAAAAUCAAAAUGGUAGAUACUGAUGUAAAUAAAGCCUCAUGGCAGCUUCGAAAACUUUUUGCGGCGUUUUGAUAGACCUCAGCGGUACGGUUCAUGUUGGUGAAGAGCUGAUUUCCAACGCAAAGAAUGGUCUAUUAAGACUGCAAAAAGCAAAUAUACCAUACCGCUUUGUAACGAACACAACUAAAGAGUCAAAGGAUUUGCUUGUAAAACGUCUGAAGAGGUUACGUUUAGAUGUCCAUGAUUCACAAAUCUUUACUUCAUUGUUAGCUGCAAAACAUUAUGUUACAGAAAAUAAAUUGAAUCCUCAUUUAAUGCUGCAUGACGACGCCCUAUCAGAAUUCUCAGAUAUUCAGACAAAUGGAAAGCCUGAUGCUAUUCUUAUUGGCCUCGCUCCAGGCAAGUUCGAUUACAGAAGUUUGAACAAAGCAUUCAGUUUUAUUUUAGACGGAGCAAGUUUAAUUGCAAUCCACAAGGCACGUUACUAUAAACGAUCUGAUGGUUUAGCAUUGGGACCAGGUCCUUUUAUUUCCGCGUUGGAAUAUGCAACCGGUAAAAAAACGGUUGUGAUUGGAAAGCCAGAAAAAGAGUUUUUUCAAAGCGCAGUUAAAAGUAUGCACCUUGAAGAAAACGCAACUUACUUCAUGAUAGGAGAUAAGACAAAAAUGCUUCUAAAUAUCGAGAAUAAAGUUAAUGCACUAUCUUUGUUGUUGUUUUUUCAUUCCACAUUUGCUUUAUGCACUGACAAUGUUGAAAAAAUUUGUGGAUGGCGGAUUUUAUUUUACGGAUUUUGAACAAAGAUCGAAGGCAGAAAAACAUUUAGAGAUUUUUUGUAGAAAAAUCUGUUUGACAUUUUACUACAACAAGAAUUAUGGAUAUUGUUCACUUUUUUAUACUGCUACUGUAAGAGGCCUUUCAUUAUUAUAAACGGUUUUGAAAACCUGUUGACAAUAACGAGUUGUUUUGAUUAAAAAAACUCAACUUUGCGACAACUUUACAAUAAAAGUAGUGCGGUAAGAUGACAAUACUGUUGGGUAUUUACCACGAGAACUUGCGAGGAUAAUGAAAUAUUUUUUGGGCAAAGGAGCUUCAAUGUAUGUGAAACCGCCUUCACGCCAUUACCGACGAUCACCAUUGGUAAGCGACAUUGAAAUUCCCUGUAUUGUAUAUUUAAAAAUGAACUCUACAUUAAAAAAUGCACAGCUUGUAGAACGCUACCUCCAAUCGUUAUACAAACCCAAAGGACGAGAAAAUACUUAGAUCUUUGAUCACUGAAGUGCUUCCGGAGCGGUGGGUUAGAAAAUAUCUAAAUCUGCUGAUGAUUUUGAUUUAGACUUGUAAUACUUGUGUUGUCGAAAGUAAAAAUAGGUGAAAACACAUACAAUUUUUUUUUUCAAAUUAAAUUUUCCCAAAUCAGCUUCCUAGGCUAUUUCACGUGACAUGAUCUUUCGCGAAUCCGCAGGUCAGCAUUUUUCGCGGGUAUUUACUUUCGCGAAAAUGGCAAAAAAAAACGCGAAACUUUAUUUCCGUAAAGUAUAGUUCUUGCUAAUAUUUUCCUUAACCCUAUUUGGUAUGGGGGGCAUAAAGUGUCCCCGGCAUUUUCAAAGUCUCAUUACUUUUUAAUUACUGGAUAAAAUUCCUUGAAAUUUUAGGACUUUUCUUAACUUUUAUAGGUCUUUCGGACAAUUAAAUUUUUUUUUACAAAAAUUGUCCUGUCAAUGUUACUUUGUCCUUUAUUCACAGGUGGUCAUAUCAACUUUUGCUGUAGUGCUAAAAAUAAAUGUUUUAUAAACUAACCAGUUGUAGGAAUAUGUGAUUAUGCAUGUGAUACUGACAUAAAGUCAUCAUACAAUAUUGACAUACACAAUGUGUAAUUUGCAGAUCGGAAUACUGGUAAUUUACAGACUGGAAUAUUUCUAUUCUCCUAUUUUUAUAUCUAUCGUCAUGCGGUGACGUCAUAGGUCAUUUUGUCACAUGUCAAUCCAAUUUGCCUUGUUUGAGUACUUACCGACAUGAAUGCGCAUUGAUAUACCAAGUUUUAUUCCAUGAUAACUACUAACACCAAGGUUCUCAAAUAUCGAUUUUUUAAACAAGUUUGAAUUCUGAUCGAUUUCCAUUCUCUCCCUAGAGAAAUUCUUUGGUAACACCUGCAAAUGUUUCUAAUUAUGACUUACAUUCUUAUAUUAGGUUUUUUAAUGACUAGUACUGCAAAUAUUUUUAAAAAAGAUAAAAAACACGAUAAUUUCCAAAAAAAAGAUAUAUUUUCGCCAACCAUUGUCUCAUUAUGACGUCAUUACUUCCUGUGAUGACAUGCCAACCAAAAUAUUUUGUCAUUAAUUAAGUCACAACAUAUUGAUGCUUCUUUGUGCCAAGUUUCGUCACUUAAAACCAAACUGAUCAAAAGUUACAGCCCGCGGGCACUUUAUGCCCCCCCCCCUACUCACAAGGGUCAAAAAAAGCCCAUACCAAAUAGGGUUAACUAUAAUAUCACCAAGAAAAAUUGAUACAGAUAAGAAUUCACAUAAGUUUUCCACGUGUCGCAAUUGAAUACAUGUUUCUUUUAAAAACAUGACAUACGCAUCUAUAGGCUUAAAUUUGGUCAUUUUAAGCAUAUGGUAAGCAUUAUGUGAGCCUAAGAAAAUGUUGUAAAGUUUUUGUUCUUUGUUUCGUGAGCAGUUUUUCUUUUUAUUCUUAAUGUAUUAUUAACCAGUAUGUACAUACUGGUUAAUUCAGAUAUUUAUAAUUUUCUGUAAUUACUGAUGUUAAAAAUUCAAAUGCAAAUAUUUUUUUUUUAAAUAAGCAUAUUUUGAGCCUCAUCAUGUGUUUUCCAUAAGCAAUAAGUUUUUUUGUCAGUAAGCAUAAACUCCUCCAGCCUUAUUUUGAAUUUCAAUUGCUCAUAAAAAACAUGUAGCUUUUCAUCCACUUAGGAUGUGAAAGAUGAUAUUGAUGGAGCACAGAAAGCUGGUAUGUUGGGAAUUUUGGUCAAGACAGGAAAAUAUCGCAAAAACGAUGAAGGUACGAUCAACCCUGCUCCUUACCGCACUGUUGACAGCCUUGCUGAUGCAGUAGAAAUCAUU